AUCCUUGGCUGUCACUGUGUUUGGAUCUGCACAUGGGAAAGAGCAACUUUGUUACGGAACUCAUUGGAUGCUCACUUGUUUUAACUCUUCUCUUGAUUGACUCAGUCCUAUGGACUAGCUUAAAGGCUUCUUCUUCUUUUUUUUACCCAACCUUGCUUGAAUCCACACUGCUUUAUAACUUGGAUCUGGAACAGAAUAGAGUAACAUGCUACUGUCAAUUAGACCCACCCACUCCCACCUGCAAUCUACUGAACAUGUGAUGAAAGAUGCAGAGAAUGGUGGAGUAGCCACAUAAUAUCUUAUGCAAGCCCUUUGACCUAGUUGGUUGCCUUAGAUGCUGUCAAGAUUUCAAUACAAUAUGAUGGAUAUGUUGUCAGAAUCUGCUAAUGUGAAAAAAAGAAAGAAUUGAAUGUCAGAAGGAUAUCAGCUUGCUCCCUUUACCGGCUUUAUCAUAGCAUUUGUUUGACUAAUCUCUGUUGAUGUGAGACUUUGAACACUUCAUUAUAUUGUAAACUUUUGUUCUCCAGUUCAAAAGUUCAUUGCAUGUCUCCAAGUCCAACUUGACUGUCUGUUGGUCUCAUGAAAGAUUAGAAUGGAUGAUGAGUCCAGCAACUCUACUUCUCAUCUUUGUUGCAUGCUAUGGUUAUAGGUGUUGCAUCCAGCAGUGCUAAUUCUUGUGUGGCAAGUGCAUCCAGUAGAAUUGGUUUCAGUGGCUGUCAUCUGAUAUGAACACUGUUGAUUGCUUGUAUUAUAGUCCAUUAAUUAGACUGGGGACUUGAUGACCAUAUACUCUUACAAGUAGAUUGAGACACUGAUAUUUGUUCAUUCUCAGCUGCUUGGUAAAAAUAUUUAGCAGGAAAAUUUCAGAAAAAUGCAUCUAUCAACUAUCUUACAUAAAGAUGAUCGUCGGGAGAACCACACUGCAAGUAUUUUUAUAAAUAAUUACCUGAUUAAAUGAGAUGGUCAAGACUUGCAUCAUCCUUUGAUUGUUCUCC
rnacentral:lncRNA from 1 species